rnacentral:rRNA from 1 species
UACGUAGGCAGCGAGUGUUGUUCGGAGUUACUGGGCGUAAAGGGUGUGUAGGCGGUUGUUUAAGUUUGGUGUGAAAUCUCCCGGCUCAACUGGGAGGGUGCGCCGAAUACUGAAUGACUUCGAGUGCGGGAGAGGAAAGUGGAAUUCCUGGUGUAGCGGUGAAAUGCGUAGAUAUCAGGAGGAACACCGGUGGUGUAGACGGCUUUCUGGACCGUAACUGACGCUGAGACACGAAAGCGUGGGUAGCAAACAGG